UUUCAUUGGAGGGACAAUAACGUUUAUCUACUGCACUCUCAUUUGGGUUUUCUCCGUCGCCGAGGGACGGCCGGAAGGAAUCACGUAUGAUCCUGGAGCAGGGAGGACUCAUGUAGGAAGGAUGCUCAGUAUCAUCAACGGAAUAGGACUCAUUUCUUUCGCUUUCAAGGGUCAUAAUCUCAUCUUAGAGAUCCAGGGAACAUUGCCGUCGACUGAUAAAACUCCAUCUCGUGUUCCGAUGUGGAUCGGAGUAAAAGUUGCGAAGAUUUUCAUCUUCCUAUGCCUUUUCCUUACUGCAAUCAUGGGAUACUGGUCUUACGGAAAUCUGAUCCCUCGUUCCGGGAUUCUUUCCGCUCUCCAUAAGUACCACGGCCAACAAGUCCCAGCAGCGGUGCUGGGACUGAUUACGUUGCUGGUUGUCAUCGGCUGCAUGGGUACGUAUCAAAUCUACGCGAUGGUUGUAUUUGAUAAUCUGGAGAUGAUCUAUACGGCGAAAAAGAAGAAACCAUGCCCGUGGUGGGUUAGAAUCCUAUUACGUGCGAUUUUUGCCGGAACUUCGUUUUUGAUAGCGAAUGCGUUUCCGUUCCUCCCCGAUCUCGGCGGACUUCUGGGUGGAAUUGCACUUCCGGUGACAUUGGCGUAUCCCUGCUUCAUGUGGGUUUUGAUCAAGAAACCCAAAAGAAGGAGUGGUAUGUGGUACUUGAAUUGGGGUCUUGGAAUUCUUGCUAUGAUUUUGAGCGUCGCGAUCAUCGUCGGAGGGUUUUGGAAUCUGAUUUAUGCCGGAUUGAAGUUCAGGUUCUUCAAUGCAGGUUUAGACGAUCAUGCUAAUUACAUCGGGUCCAGGUAGUAAAUUACAAUUAAGCCCUUGUUCUUUUCUCCUGGUUUAGAAAAUAUUGCGCUAAUUUCAUUUAUUUUUUAUCUAUCUAAUAAGUAAUAAGUUUCAAAAACUAUACAUAAUUUAAUGAACUAUACAUAAGUUUUACUUUUACUUUAUAGUUAUUUUAUAUUUUGUAAGUUAGAAGUUAAAAUCAAUGGUUAUAAUUUUUUUUUAAAGUAAUAAAAAAUGAAGUUAAUUUUUUUUUUCUUGGUUCAAAAGAUUGGUUUCUCAUACUUUUAUCAUAGAUGUUUUUAAAAUGUGAUAAUAACUUUUUUUACAACAUUCCAGAUCAAAUUAAAGACUGGUGUUUUUAAUGACAUUUUUAAAAAUUACUUUAAGAAAAGACCUACUAAUGUGUUGUCUGUAUUUUUUAUUUUUUCUGUCCAUAUAUGUCACGAUAAACACCCAAUAUCAUCUAAUAAGAAGUUAAAGUUUUGAUAGUUGAUAAAUUAAACCGAGAUUCGAAAUGCGCAGUUUGAUUGGUUCGACUCUGACGACAUUAAGGCUCUGAUACCAAUUGACAAUUUUUAAUUGGUAAUUGAGAAGAUAAAAUUGAUGGUAAAAUAGGAAUCUGAGAGUCAAUUGGGUAAAAAUCGAUUAGUAAGUAAUCUAAUGAAAUCGCAUAAUAAUCAAUUUUCAUUAAACUUCAAUCCGACGGUGGAAAAUUGAAGAUUUUAGAAUUAAGCUUCAUUGUAGCCACACAAUGACUUCACACGUUUCGAAUCAUUUAAAUUAAUUUGUUAAUGACGAGGUUAAUUUUCGAUUAAUGACUAGGUUUGGUCAAAUGUGAUUUGGUCAAAUAUGAUUUGGUCAACCAAGUUGAAAAUUACGUUAUAUAGGAUUUUAUUGACUUAAUUACUAUUUGGUCUUACUGUCAAAUAUAAUAUUAAAAUGUCCCUGAAUUAUAUUUUACAAAUAGAUCCUUAUUCUUUUGAAAAUUUUAUUUCAAUCCUUUCUAUUUAUCUUCCCAUCUUCUUCCACUUAACUACUGUAAUCUAAUCAGCGCCGUCAAAAUUGACGACAUUAUUCCAUAUUCCCAUUUUCCGGCUGUCUGCCAUUUUCGCAUUUACAGCAGUUUUUUGAUGAUGUAAGAUGGAUUACAUCAUCAGACUUACAUCAUCGACACUCAAUAAGAAUAUUCCGGUCGUAAUUUGGUAUUUUCUUUCAAACAGUGUUACUUUUGGUCAGCAGAGACGACAGUCAUCGUUUUCAAUCUGGUCGGACAUGGAUGGUUCUUAUUUAAACUCCACCAACACACUCCAUCCGAAACUUACCGGAAAAAUGAAGAUCAAGAGUGAUGACUCUAAAUUAUCGCACUUGAACGGUGAGGAGCCAACUCCGAUAAUGACUCCGGCAUUAAUAUCAGCUCCACCGAUGCAAAUAAGAAACUCACCAUCACUCCCCAUCGCCAAAACAUUACAUUUCGUACAUAUACCCGACUUACAGAGGAGUAGGUCGACGGCAUGGAGGGAGACGAUACAGUUGGGUUCGUCUCGUAUGUCGACAAACGGCAGUGUUACGGGCACUGGUCCGGUACUAAAUGCGAUUAACAGUCUGCGAAGUUACGUAGAUGAUUUCAACACCCAAACCCAACCACCUACCGGAAUAGAUCACUGGCUUCCGAUUACAGAAGCGAGGAAAGGAAAUGCUUUCUUCGCUUCGUUACAUGUGUUGUGUGCCGGAAUCGGAUUCCAGACUUUACUGCUUCCCGUCGCCUUUGCUGCUCUUGGAUGGUGAGGAACUAAACACUAAGAUUUAUAUAUAUCUGUAAAGUUUAAAUCUUUAAUACAAAUUUAAAUUAUUGGGUUCUAAUUUUACAGGACAUGGGGGAUCCUUGUGUUCUUGGCGAUGUUCUUCUGGCAGUUGUAUACCAUUUGGAUUCUUACAAGAUUACACGAAGAUGAUUUUCGUGGAAUUCGCCACAGCAGAUAUCUUCAUCUUCUCUCCACGGCUUUUGGUCCGAAGAUGGCGAACAUCGCCGGGAAGUUUCCGAUAAUGUACCUCUCCGGUGGGACAUGUACGACGCUUAUAAUCCUGGGUGGGAAUAGCUUGAAGUUGUUCUUCGAGAUUAUUUGCGGUGAUGGAUCUUCGUGCAGUACUGUUCGAAAUUUAACCGGUGUAGAAUGGUACUUGGUGUUCAUCUGUGUCGUGUUUCUGAUCGCACAGAUACCUAAUCUCCAUUCCAUGGCCGUGAUUUCGUUCAUCGGAGGGAUGAUAACGUUUAUCUACUGCACUCUGAUAUGGUCUUUCUCGGUCGCCGAGGGACGGCCGGAAGGAGUCACGUAUGAUCCUGGAGCUGGGAAGACUCCAAUAGGAAGAAUGCUCAGUAUCAUCAACGGAAUGGGACUCAUCGCCUUCGCUUUCAAGGGUCAUAAUCUCAUCUUAGAGAUUCAGGGAACAUUGCCG
rnacentral:lncRNA from 1 species